UACGUAGGGCGCAAGCGUUAUCCGGAAUUAUUGGGCGUAAAGAGCUCGUAGGCGGUUUGUCGCGUCUGCUGUGAAAGACCGGGGCUCAACUCCGGUUCUGCAGUGGGUACGGGCAGACUAGAGUGAUGUAGGGGAGACUGGAAUUCCUGGUGUAGCGGUGAAAUGCGCAGAUAUCAGGAGGAACACCGGUGGCGAAGGCGGGUCUCUGGGCCGAUACUGACGCUGAGGAGCGAAAGCGUGGGGAGCGAACAGG
rnacentral:rRNA from 1 species